rnacentral:rRNA from 1 species
GAUGAACGCUAGCUACAGGCUUAACACAUGCAAGUCGAGGGACCGGCGCACGGGUGAGUAACACGUAUCCAACCUGCCCUUUACUCGGGGAUAGCCUUUCGAAAGAAAGAUUAAUACCCGAUAUAAAGGAUGGGGAUGCGUUCGAUUAGGUUGUGGGUGAGGUAACGGCCCACCAAGCCUUCGAUGGAUAGGGGUUCUGAGAGGAAGGCCCCCCACAUUGGAACUGAGACACGGUCCAAACUCGUACGGGAGUCAGGGGUGAGGAAGAUUGGUCAAUGGGCGCUAGCCUGAACCAGCCAAGUAGCGUGGAGGAUGAAGGCUUAUGGGUCGUAAAUUGCUUUUAUAGAAGAAUAUGGAUUAUAUGAAUAAGGAUCGGCUAACUUCGUGCCAGCCGCCGCGGUAAUUC